GCCGGGUGCAGUGGCGCACACCUGUAAUCCCAGCGGCUUGGGAGGCUGAGGCAGGAGGAUCGAGAGUUCAAAGCCAGCCUCAGCAAUGGUGAGGCACUAAGCAACUCAGUGAGACCCUGUCUCUA
rnacentral:sRNA from 1 species